rnacentral:lncRNA from 1 species
CGACAUUAACUGACACGCCAGAGCUGUUUUAUUUAUAUCUCGAGCUACAGAAGUCCAAAUGACAUGAAACCCGUGGGGUUAGUUUCAGAACUUCGUGGAGAAUUUUCUGUAAAUUUUUCAGAAUUUUGGAGAAUCUGUCUGGGAGGUGUAUGCGAAUUAGUAAAGCACUCAAAAUCUGAAACUGUCGACCGACACUGUCAGCUGGUUAAUUUUAUAACUUGAGAUCCAGAAGUCCGAUUAAGAUGAUUUCCGUUGGGUUGGUUCACCAAUUUAAUAAGUUACGACUUGGUAAUUUUUCAGUAUUUAUGGACACUUCCUCUGAUGACC